rnacentral:sRNA from 1 species
UUGGUGAACCAGCGGAGGGAUCAUUACAGAGUUACAAACUCCAAACCUUUGUGAACAUACCUACGUUGCUUCGGCGGCCUCGCCCCGGGCGUCGCGGUGCCCUAACGGGAGCCGCAGCGGCCGGACCCAGGCGACCGCCGGGGGACCCAAACUCUUGUUUUUACAGUGAAUUCUGAGUGGCAUAAGCAAAAUAAUCAAAACUUUCAGCAACGGAUCUCUUGGUUCUGGCAUCGAUGAAGAACGCAGCGAAAUGCGAUAAGUAAUGUGAAUUGCAGAAUUCAGUGAAUCAUCGAAUCUUUGAACGCACAUUGCGCCCGCCAGUACUCUGGCGGGCAUGCCUGUCCGAGCGUCAUUUCAACCCUCAGCACCCGCCUUCGCGGCGGGAGCUGGCGUUGGGGAUCGGCCGCCCUCAGCGGCGGCCGGCCCCGAAACGAAGUGGCGGCCGCGUCGCGACCUCCUCUGCGCAGUAGCGAUACCUCGCAGCCUGGAUAGCGGUGCGGCCACGCCGUAAAACCCCAACUUUACCAAGGUUGACCUCGGAUCACGUAGGAAUACCCGCUGAACUUAAGCAUAUCAAUAAGCGGAGGAAAAGAAACCAACAGGGAUUGCCUCAGUAACGGCGAGUGAAGCGGCAACAGCUCAAAUUUGAAAUCUGGCCCCC